CUACGGGCUGCUCCAGUGAGGAAUAUUACACAAUGGGGGGAACCCUGAUGCAGCAACGCCGCGUGGAGGAUGACGCAUUUCGGUGUGUAAACUCCUUUUAUAUGUCAAGAAAAUGACGGUAGCAUAUGAAUAAGCACCGGCUAACUCCGUGCACAGCAGCCGCGGUAAUACGGAGGGUGCAAGCGUUACUCGGAAUCACUGGGCGUAAAGGACGCGUAGGCGGGUUGGAAAGUCAGGUGUGAAAUCCUACAGCUUAACUGUAGAACUGCACUUGAAACUUCUAAUCUAGAGUAUGGGAGGGGGAGAUGGAAUUAGUGGUGUAGGGGUAAAAUCCGUAGAUAUCACUAGGAAUACCUAAAGCGAAGGCGAUCUCCUGGAACAUUACUGACGCUAAGGCGUGAAAGCGUGGGGAGCAAACAGGAUUAGAUACCCCGGUAGUC
rnacentral:rRNA from 1 species